AUACGUAGGUGGCAAGCGUUGUCCGGAAUUAUUGGGCGUAAAGAGCAUGUAGGCGGGCCUUUAAGUCCGACGUGAAAAUGCGGGGCUCAACCCCGUAUGGCGUUGGAUACUGGAGGUCUUGAGUGCAGGAGAGGAAAGGGGAAUUCCCAGUGUAGCGGUGAAAUGCGUAGAUAUUGGGAGGAACACCAGUGGCGAAGGCGCCUUUCUGGACUGUGUCUGACGCUCAGAUGCGAAAGCUAGGGUAGCAAACGGGAUUAGAUACCCCGGUAGUCCUAGCCGUAAACGAUGGGUACUAGGUGUGGGACGUAUCGACCCCUUCCGUGCCGGAGUUAACGCAAUAAGUACCCCGCCUGGGGACUACGAUCGCAAGAUUGAA
rnacentral:rRNA from 1 species